rnacentral:rRNA from 1 species
AUUGAACGCUGGCGGCAGGCCUAACACAUGCAAGUCGAGCGGAUGAAGGGAGCUUGCUCCUGGAUUCAGCGGCGGACGGGGGAGUAAUGCCUAGGAAUCUGCCUGGUAGUGGGGGAUAACGUCCGAAAACGGGCGCUAAUAUCGCGUACGUCCUGAGGGGGAAAGUGGGGGGUGUUCGAACCUCACGCUAUCAGAGGAGCUUAGGUCGGCUUAGCUAGUUGGUGGGGUAAAGGCCUACCAAGGCGACGAUCCGUAACUGGUCUGAGAGGAUGAUCAGUCACACUGGAACUGAGCCACGGUCCAGACUCCUACGGGAGGCAGCAGUGGGGAAUAUUGGACAAUGGGCGAGAGCCUGAUCCAACGAUGCCACGUGUGUUAAGAAGGUCUUCGGAUUGUAAAGCACUUUAAGUUGGGAGAAAGCGCAGUAAGUUAAUACCUUGCUGUUUUGACGUUACCAACAGAAUAAGCACCGGCUAACUUCGUG